CCUACGGGAGGCAGCAGUGGGGAAUAUUGGACAAUGGGGGGAACCCUGAUCCAGCCAUGCCGCGUGUGUGAAGAAGGCCCUCGGGUUGUAAAGCACUUUCAGUGAGGAAGAACGCCUGGUGGUUAAUACCCAUCAGGAAAGACAUCACUCACAGAAGAAGCACCGGCUAAACUCCGUGCCAGCAGCCGCGGUAAUACGGAGGGUGCGAGCGUUAAUCGGAAUUACUGGGCGUAAAGCGCGCGUAGGUGGCUUGAUAAGCCGGUUGUGAAAGCCCCGGGCUCAACCUGGGAACGGCAUCCGGAACUGUCAAGCUAGAGUGCAGGAGAGGAAGGUAGAAUUCCCGGUGUAGCGGUGAAAUGCGUAGAGAUCGGGAGGAAUACCAGUGGCGAAGGCGGCCUUCUGGACUGACACUGACACUGGGGUGCGAAAGCGUGGGUAGCAAACAGGAUUAGAUACCCUAGUAGUC
rnacentral:rRNA from 1 species